GCCCGAAUGGAAAAACCGAUUUUUCCAUGCAGGCCACUUAAGAGGUCCGCAUGCAAAAAGUGCCCGCAUGGAAAAAUCGGUUUUUCCAUACGGGC
rnacentral:pre_miRNA from 13 species